rnacentral:rRNA from 1 species
AGAGUUUGAUCCUGGCUCAAGAUUGAACGCUGGCGGAAUGCUUUACACAUGCAAGUCGAACGAUGAACCUUAGCUUGCUAAGGGGAUUAGUGGCGAACGGGUGAGUAAUAUAUCGGAACGUGCCUUGUAAUGGGGGAUAACUAGUCGAAAGAUUAGCUAAUACCGCAUACGCCCUGAGGGGGAAAGUAGGGGAUCUUCGGACCUUACGUUAUAAGAGCGGCCGAUAUCUGAUUAGCUAGUUGGUGGGGUAAUGGCCUACCAAGGCGACGAUCAGUAGCUGGUCUGAGAGGACGACCAGCCACACUGGAACUGAGACACGGUCCAGACUCCUACGGGAGGCAGCAGUGGGGAAUUUUGGACAAUGGGCGAAAGCCUGAUCCAGCCAUUCCGCGUGAGUGAAGAAGGCCUUCGGGUUGUAAAGCUCUUUCGCAAGGGAAGAAAACUUACAUUCUAAUAAAGUGUGAGGCUGACGGUACCUUGAUAAGAAGCACCGGCUAACUACGUGCCAGCAGCCGCGGUAAUACGUAGGGUGCGAGCGUUAAUCGGAAUUACUGGGCGUAAAGCGUGCGCAGGCGGUUUGGCAAGUCAGAUGUGAAAUCCCCGAGCUCAACUUGGGAACUGCGUUUGAAACUGCCAGACUAGAAUAUGUCAGAGGGGGGUAGAAUUCCACGUGUAGCAGUGAAAUGCGUAGAGAUGUGGAGGAAUACCAAUGGCGAAGGCAGCCCCCUGGGAUAAUAUUGACGCUCAUGCACGAAAGCGUGGGGAGCAAACAGGAUUAGAUACCCUGGUAGUCCACGCCCUAAACGAUGUCUACUAGUUGUUGGUGGAGUAAAAUCCAUGAGUAACGCAGCUAACGCGUGAAGUAGACCGCCUGGGGAGUACGGUCGCAAGAUUAAAACUCAAAGGAAUUGACGG